rnacentral:tRNA from 1 species
UGGGUUGUUGCUCAGUGGUAGAGCACUUGCCUAGCAUGUAUGAGGCACUGGGUUUGAUCCUCAGCACUGCUA